rnacentral:rRNA from 1 species
AGACGCUAUUCCCUAAGAUUAACCCAUGCAUGUUUUUGACAUUUGAAAAAUGGACUGCUCAGUAAUACUCACUUUAUUUUAUGUAAAUUUUUGAUUAAUUAACUACGUUAAAGUGUAGAUAAGAUGUUUACAGUAAGAGUGAGACCUAUCAGCUAGUUGUUAAGGUAAUGGCUUAACAAGGCUGUGACGGGUAACGGUAUUGCUUUGUAAUAUUCCGGAGAAGGAGCCUGAGAGACGGCUACUAAGUCUAAGGAUUGCAGCAGGGGCGAAACUUGACCUAUGGAUUUUAUCUGAGGCAGUUAUGGGAAGUAAUAUUGUAUUGUUUCAUAUUUUAAAAGUAUAUGAGGUGAUUAAUUGGAGGGCAAAUCAAGUGCCAGCAGCCGCGGUAAUACUUGUUCCAAGAGUGUGUAUGAUGAUUGAUGCAGUUAAAAAGUCCGUAGUUUAUUUUUUAAGAAGCAAUAUGAGGUGUACUGUAUAGUUGGGAGAAAGAUGAAAUGUGACGACCCUGACUGGACGAAC